UGACGAAGGAGAAAGCAAGACAGUGCACGGUGGACUCGUCUUCUGCAAGAACCUUCCAUGCAAUGGCUUGUUCAAAGGAAGCAUGGCGCCCCAUAGUCGAUAUGCAAAUUCCAGCAGUAAAGUAACAACCAAGCAUGGCUGGCAAUGAACUGAAAGGGAGAAUAUAUAUAGUAGGUAACCUGGUGCAUUAAAUUGGAAAAAUCAGCAGAGAAGGCCUUAAGGGCAGAGUCGCCGAGAAUCUUAUCCAAAGUGAUGUCUUGCAACGCAACCAAGGUCGUCUCCAACAUGUCGAGGCCUGCUUGGUUUGCAAACAUGAACACUGGGGGCAGUGACUGCAACCAUCCAACCAAAUAAAUCGCAUUGCUUAGGAGACAAUCACACAUGGUUGGGAAAGAGAGAACCUGUAGCCAUAGCAGAUCCAUCGAGCCAGGGUAAGAGCUUCUGGACAAGCAGAUGAUAGCCUUCGUUCCGAUGGCAAGCUUAAUCCAGAGGGAGAUAUGGCAACUGCAACCCUCUGCACAGCUGAAACGACACUCCGAACGUACUGCCUUGCCAUCGCUGCAACGUCAUCCUGUAGGUUG